rnacentral:misc_RNA from 1 species
ACACCUCAACUCUCAUGUUCCACCAUGAUGAGUUUGGACUUUGGAGGUCUUGCUGGCCAGCGGCCAGCUCCUCUCAAGUGAAUCAGCUUGCCAGUGUUUGGCGGCAUCACAGGUGUGAUAACUAUCUACGCUUGUGGUUUCCUGCCAGGUGUCCCUUCAGCAAUGGAGGUCCACUGGAGCUCAUAAAUGUCUCUCCACAGAGAGGACAGCUUCUUGAAU